rnacentral:lncRNA from 1 species
CUACAGCUCCAAUUAGACCUGGAGCCUGGGAACCUCCCUAUAGUCUACUUCCACAUUCCUUCAGGCUUUGGCCUAAGUAAUCUUCCAGAUUUACUACCAAGGUGCCUCUCAGCUGGAGGCUGUUAUCAGCUCCUAGAUGCCGCCCACAGUUCCUUGGCACAUGGCCCCCUGUAUAGAUCCUCUCUCUCAACAUGGCAGCUUAUUUCCUCAAAACUAGUAAGGGGCUUUAUGACCUCCCUUUCAAGUCUUCCACCUAAUAAAGUCAGGCCCACCUAGCAUAGUCUCUCUUUUGAAUAACUCCAAAUCCACUAAUUCAGAAAUUUUAAACCUGCAAAAUUUCUUCUCCUUCGUUAUAUAAUAUAGCUGAAUGAAUGGAGUUAUAUUCCAUCAGCUUUGCCAUGUUCUAUUGGUUAGAAGCAAGUCUUAGAAUCUGUCCAAUUCAAGGGUAGGGAAUUACACAAAAGUGCGGACAAUAGGGGUCUGGAAAUCAUUGAAGAGCGGGGGGUUACCUUGAGGUCUGUCCGCCAUACCUUUCCCAAUUCCUAUUUUUUACAAAUUCAGUUUGAAUGUAUUCAGUUGAAACUUGAAUUGAAUAAACUUAAACAAAAAGUGUGUGUACUAUUCCAUGAAAUCAAAGGAAGCGUUGAGAAAAGCUUAUUGGGAGAGGGUUGCUGCUAUAACAUGGAAAUCUAGAAAUCAGUUGUCUUCAGAGACCACUUCUUGACUUUUUUCCCCUUGUCAGAUAACCUCGCUUGGAUUGGUUGCCCUCCCUCAGGAAGAAUCAUAUGUGGUUGAGAUAAUGGGUCUUCUCAUCAGCCUAGAUUAGAUCAAGCAUCCCCUUUAUAUGAAUCAACUCUGGUUAUGUACAGCAUUUUAAGAACUUUUUAAUUCCUGGGGAAAUGAGAGGGGUAAUUUCUAAAAAAAAUUAUUAACUCCAAACAAUAUAAUGUAUAUAUUAGAGCAUCUCUAAACAGUGUUUAUUUUUAUUUUUUUUAAAUUUUUUUCCUCCCAGAAUAAUCACAGGAUUUGUUUACUUGCAGUAGUGCGAUCUUGCACUGGAACUUAUCUGCCAGUACUUUUAUAUCUAUCCCAUAUACUCCAGACCAAAAACUUCUGAGUAGUGUAUGUUCCAUUCAUUGCUAUAAUUUCGGGAUCUAGCUGGCCUGGUUUAUGAUAGUCAUUCAGCAGAUGAAUGUUUAACAAAGUACUGCCUUACUGAAAAAUUAAAUUUAAUGUAGUCCACUAAAAAUUCAGCAACUUAAAAAAACUCCAGCGUUGCCAUAGGGGUGGAUGUUUUAAAUUGUCUUAUUUUAAAAUAGAAAUUAAAGUUGGUAAUUCUUUUAUUUAGUGAAAAGAAUGAUGAAGGAUGAUUUUUUUUUUUUUAAAGAGCAAGGAAGAGAAUCAUAAAAUCACCUCAGAAAAUAAAUUAGAACAGAAGUGGAUGAGCAUUAGGGUCAUGUUUUCAGGGCCUGUUGAGUACUUCAUAUUCUUUAUUGACACCCUCCCAAGUUUUCUUCCCUGAUCUUCCUUUUCCAUGUUUUAUUUUUUCUAUCUGUAUCUAUCUCAUUACCUAUCUUUAUCAAGAAAAAUGGACCUCAUUGAUGAAAGUUAUUUCCUACUUUAGGAUUUCAAGUUAAAAAAAAACUUUUUCAUAGAUUAUAGAUAAACCGUGACACUGAAUAAAUACGUCUCCCUUCAAUACCUUUUUGAGUAGUUUAGAAAUUUGAUUGAUACAUCCAGAAAUGAGCAGAAGCAACAUUUCAUCCAAUAGCUUAUAUAUUCUUGCCCUUAGUUAAAGUGUACCUGCUUACUUGGAUGGUAGCCAUCCAGUUUUCUGCUUCCUCUACUCCUAAGGAUAAGCAGCAGAGCUCAUGGAUGAUUGUGGAUUUUCUAGUCAUUCAAUUAGUAACUAUUUACUUAAUGACAAUUAGAUUCCAGUUACUAAGCUCAGUAUUAUUAAUACGGCAAUAAACAAGACUGAAGAAAUUUUGAGUAUAUGAAAUUUGUGUUCCAGGAGAAGGAAUUAGAAAAUAUGUAACAGAUAAAGUAAUGAUAAAAGGAAAUAAAUAAAAUAGGGUGAUUUUGACAAAAUAUAACAAUCUAUACUUUAUAAAGACGGUCAGAGAAGACCUCUUUGAGAAGAUGAUUUUGAAACCCAGUCUUGAGAAAUGAAAAUAAUAGGGGCUGUGGGGAGAUACCUGAAAGAAGUAUAUGUGAAGACCUAGAGUUAAAAAAGGAUUUUAGGUAUUAAAAAAAUCAAAAAGCUGUCCACAUAAAUAUAGCACAGUGAAAGAGAAGAGUGUUUGUGAUGAAGGCAGGUGCUAGAGCAUGCAGAAUUAAAGCCUUAAUUAAAGAAUUUGGGUUUUUAAGAGGAAUGGAAAAAUUACAUUUGGCAGAAAAGUAAUUCAAUUGAUUUAUAUUUGUAACUAUUUUGCAAGAGAAUUGCUUAUUGUAGGAAAAGAUUAAAAGCAGGGAGACUGUAAGAAAAGAUUAAAAGCAGGGAGACAGGUUAGAAUGUGAUAGUUACAGACAGAUAUCAUGGCAUUGAUAUCUAUGGAAAGAUGCGAAAAAUGGAAAGAAGUACAUAUGAGAUGUAUUUGGGAGGUAAAACUGAGUAGACUUCCUGGUUAAUCAGAUAUGCUUAGUGAAACAGAAGAUUCCUAGGUAGAUCUUUGAGGUUCUAAUUUGAGCAGCUAAGAAGAUGGUAGUAGUAUUUACUAAUAAAAGUAGAAAUAGGGGUCAGAGAGAGAGUGUGGUAUUAAAAGCCUCAUGUUUGAAAAUGUAUUAAUUUUGAGAUUCCCACCAGAUAUCCAAACAAAGAUGCCAUGUAAACAGUGAACACAUGAGUUUGGAAAUCAAGGCAGAGACUAGUUGGAGAAACUCAGUGAGAAAGGCAUCCAUGUGGAGAAUCUGUUAGUCAAACUUGGUUUCAGAUUCCAGUGAAUACACUUAUCAGUGAUGUAACUUGAGACAAGAAUCUCAAUACUGCUCUGAGUUCAUUCCAUCUUCUAGAAAGUGGGAGUAGUAGUUGAUAUUAAUAAUUAAAUGUCUGGGGAUUUCCCAUUGUGGCUCAGCAGAAACGAACCCAACUAGUAUCCAUGAGGAUGUGCAAUCUUGCUAUUUUAUAGACAAUAAGCAAAAUAAUGCAGAAUGCUUAAUUAUACUCUUCUUUUGAAAGUGGAAAAUCAGUUCUAUAAAACUUGAAGGAUUAUUCGAGUUAUGUCUCCUGUAUUUUAUAUGGAACGAACUGUCAGUGGUGUAAUGCUAAGAAUAGUUUGGAGUUCCCAUUGUGGCCCAGUGGUUUAUUAACCCAACUAGUAUCCAUGAGGAUGUGGGUUCAAACCCUGGCCUCACUCAGUAGAUUAAGGAUCCAGCAUAGCCAUGAACUGUGGUAUAGGUCACAAACACAACUGGGAUCCCACGGUCCUAUGGCUGUGUCAUAGGCCGGCAGCUUCAGCUCUGAUUCAACCCCUAGCC